GUACAAUAAGCUAAAUAAGGGCGUAUGGGGAAUGCCUAGGCUCUCAGAGGCGAAGAAGGACGUGAUAAGCUGCGAAAAGCUGCGGGGAUCGGCACACACGAAUUGAUCCGCAGAUAUCCGAAUGGGGCAACCUGGCAUAUUGAAGAUAUGUCACCUCGCAAGAGGAGCAAACCCGGAGAACUGAAACAUCUAAGUACCCGGAGGAGAAGAAAACAAAAGUGAUUCCGUUAGUAGUGGCGAGCGAACGCGGAUUAGCCCAAACCGGUAUUGUUACGGCAAUGCCGGGGUUGUAGGACCACAAUAUUCGAAGCGUGAUGAACUGGAACUGUUUGGAAAGACAGACCAAAGAGGGUGAUAGUCCCGUAUAGGUAAAGAACGUUAAGAUAGUGGUAUCCUGAGUAGUGCGGGACACGAGUAAUCCUGUAUGAACCAGUCGGGACCAUCCGAUAAGGCUAAAUACUCCUGAGAGACCGAUAGUGAACUAGUACCGUGAGGGAAAGGUGAAAAGAACCCUGAAUAAGGGAGUGAAAUAGAACCUGAAACCAUACGCUUACAAGCGGUCGGAGCCCAUUAGGGUGACGGCGUGCCUUUUGCAUAAUGAGCCUACGAGUUACCGUUGCUAGCAAGGUUAAGGACUUCAGGUCCGGAUCCGUAGCGA
rnacentral:rRNA from 1 species